GAGGGUGUAGCUCAGGGGUAGAGUGUGUGCUUAGCAUGCACGAGGUCCUCGGUUCAAUCCCCAGCACCUCCA
rnacentral:tRNA from 1 species